rnacentral:rRNA from 1 species
AUUAAUGCCCAUAAUUAUUGCCCACUAAAGCAAAGCAGAGCAGCGCUAGGUCAGUACCUGGAUGGAAGACCACAUGAGAAAGCUAGGUUGCUGUUGAAG